GUCGUUAGCUCAGUUGGUAGAGCGCUUCGUUUACACCGAAGAUGUCGGGAGUUCGAGCCUCUCACGACCCACCAUUGUA
rnacentral:tRNA from 1 species